CAGUCGCCGCGGGAAUACAGAGGGUGCGAGCGUUAAUCGGAUUUACUGGGCGUAAAGCGUGCGUAGGCGGCUUCUUAAGUCGGAUGUGAAAUCCCUGAGCUUAACUUAGGAAUUGCAUUCGAUACUGGGAAGCUAGAGUAUGGGAGAGGAUGGUAGAAUUCCAGGUGUAGCGGUGAAAUGCGUAGAGAUCUGGAGGAAUACCGGUGGCGAAGGCGGCCCCCUGGACAAAGACUGACGCUCAGGUGCGAAAGCGUGGGGAGCAAACAGGAUUAGAUACCCGUGUAGUCCCUGUCUCUUAUAC
rnacentral:rRNA from 1 species